UACACUCCUACGGGAGGCAGCAGUGGGGAAUUUUACGCAAUGGGGGAAACCCUGACGUAGCGACACCGCGUGAGCGAAGAAGCCCUUUGGGGAGUAAAGCUCUGUCAGCUGGAACGAAAACAAUGACGGUACCAGCAGAGGAAGCAUCGGCUAACUACGUGCCAGCAGCCGCGGUAAGACGUAGGAUGCGAGCGUUGUCCGGAUUUAUUGGGCGUAAAGAGUUCGAAGGUGGUUUGUUAAGUUUGGUGUUAAAGAUCGGGGCUCAACCCUGGGACUGCACUGAAUACUGGCGGACUCGAGUGUGGUAGAGGCUAGUGGAAUUCCCAGUGUAGCGGUGAAAUGCGUAGAUAUUGGGAAGAACACCGGUGGCGUAGGCGACUAGCUGGGCCAUAACUGACGCUGAGGAACGAAAGCCAGGGGAGCGAAUGGGAUUAGAUACCCCUGUAGUCCCAUGAU
rnacentral:rRNA from 1 species